GCCCGGAUGAACCUCGGUGGUCCGGGGUACAGGCUUCAAACCUGUGGCCGUGUGAAAGCGGAGUGGUUCGAUUCCACCUUCCGGGU
rnacentral:tRNA from 1 species